UACGUAGGGGCAAGCGUUAUCCGGAAUCAUUGGGCGUAAAGCGCGUGUAGGCGGUUCCGUAAGUCCGCUCUGAAAGCCCAGGGCUCAACCCUGGGAGGCGGGUGGAUACUACGGAACUGGAGUACGGAAGAGGGAGUAGUGAAUUCCUGGUGUAGCGGUGAAAUGCGCAGAUAUCAGGAGGAACACCAACAGCGAAGGCAGAUCUCUGGGACGUUACUGACGCUGAGACGCGAAAGCGUGGGGAGCAAACAGG
rnacentral:rRNA from 1 species